rnacentral:tRNA from 1 species
GCCUCUGUGGUCCAGUGGUAGAGCGUUGGACUCCCGAUCCGGAGACCUCGGGUUCGAAUCCCGAUGGGGACA